UGGGGAAUAUUGCACAAUGGGCGCAAGCCUGAUGCAGCCAUGCCGCGUGUGUGAAGAAGGCCUUCGGGUUGUAAAGCACUUUCAGCGGGGAGGAAGGCGAUAAGGUUAAUAACCUUGUCGAUUGACGUUACCCGCAGAAGAAGCACCGGCUAACUCCGUGCCAGCAGCCGCGGUAAUACGGAGGGUGCAAGCGUUAAUCGGAAUUACUGGGCGUAAAGCGCACGCAGGCGGUCUGUCAAGUCGGAAGUGAAAUCCCCGGGCUCAACCUGGGAAUUGCAGCUGAUAAUGGUCAGCUAGAGGCUUGUAGAGGGGGGUAGAAUUCCAUGUGUAGCGGUGAAAUGCGUAGAGAUGUGGAGGAAUACCGGUGGCGAAGGCGGCCCCCUGGACAAAGACUGACGCUCAGGUGCGAAAGCGUGGGGAGCAAACAGG
rnacentral:rRNA from 1 species